GUUUAGGAAGGCUGUUUAAGUCAUAUGCAGGGAGGUGUGACUAGGGCUGCAUAAACAAAGUGAUUUAACUCCUAAAUGGCAGAUAAUUAGAUUGAACACCGUUCAUGACUGCUGGGAAGUGUAUACAAAGCAAAGGGCUCACAAAAUGAAGCUUUAAAACACUAUCAUGUACAGUGAAGAUGAAAUCCCAGAGGCUCCAUAGACUUGGUUUGUCUAAUCUCCUUGUUAAAAGAAGGAUGUGAUGAAAUCUGUUUGCUUGAAACAAAUAGAAAAUGUUUGCCAAAUAUAAAUAUAUAUAUUAUGUCAUCUUGG